CAGUCGCCGCGGUAAAACGAAGGGUGCAAGCGUUAAUCGGAAUUACUGGGCGUAAAGCGUGCGUAGGCGGUGAGUUAAGUCUGCUGUGAAAUCCCCGGGCUCAACCUGGGAAUGGCAGUGGAUACUGGCUCGCUAGAGUGUGUCAGAGGAUAGUGGAAUUCCCGGUGUAGCGGUGAAAUGCGUAGAGAUCGGGAGGAACAUCAGUGGCGAAGGCGGCCAUCUGGGACAACACUGACGCUGAGGCACGAAAGCGUGGGGAGCAAACAGGAUUAGAUACCCGCGUAGUCCCUGUCUCUUAUAC
rnacentral:rRNA from 1 species